CUUAAUAGAGAAGAAAAUCACGUUAUUCGGACCUUGACUUUGAAAAGGUCAUGCAUACAAGAAAGAGGCACAUGGAAUUGUUUCAAGAGUUAAAUCAGAAAUUUCAGACACUGGACAGAUUUCGGGAUGUACCAAAAUCAGGCAGUAUGGAGAACUCAGCACCGAACAAGGCUCCAUGGGACAGUUUCAAAACCACAGGCGACUACCAACACUAUACAACGAUAAAUGUAUUAGACACAGAGGCAAAAGAUGCUUUAGAACUCAGACCAGCAGAAUGGGAGAAGUGUCUGAACUUGCCUUUAGAUGUGCAAGAAGGUGACUUUCAAACAGAAGUUUAACAAAAAUGAAAACGAACUGAACAAAACAAAAACAAAACAAAAAUAAUUCAUUGCACUGACAAUAAAGAGACUUUGGGAAUCCUGACGCUCCUGUUUGAACAUUGUGACUACUUUAUGUCAGGCUCUUCCUGUGCCGAAUGUCAGUGGUUUUUUUCGUACAGUAUAUUCCCACUAGUGCGGCUAGUGGAGAACCAGGUGUACAAUUCUUACCAUCGUGUGUUGUAAGUACCCGUGGAAUGGAUUUGUAAGGUAAUCUUUAUAGAUAAACCUCAAGCAACGAUUCAUGUUGUAACAGCUUCAUUUGGUUUAGUUUUCAAAAAACUUCACCAUGAAGCACAAUGUAUAUAUUUAUGCAGUUUUUAAAGUUUAUAACAGUCUGUUUGGCCAUUACUACACUUUUUACUUUAUAAUAUAAAAGCAAAGUUUUUGUCAUUAAAUGAAUGUCUGUUGAGCUACAUUCUUCAUUGCUUUAAAUGCAAUAAAGUAAUAAUCUCACUUUUAUAUGAAUAAUAUAUUUCACAUCUUUAUUAUUGCAGUUUUCUCUGGAAAGCUCAGAGUAGCUUUCUCUGCUGCAGCUGUGUAUAAAAUAUUUAAAAUGUUGUAUGGUGUAAAUAAACCUUUGUCUACA